ACAGCCCCGUACACAAAAGCGCAUGUGCUGUGAGCUCGAUGAGUAGGGCGGGACACGUGGUAUCCUGUCUGAAUAUGGGGGGACCAUCCUCCAAGGCUAAAUACUCCUGACUGACCGAUAGUGAACCAGUACCGUGAGGGAAAGGCGAAAAGAACCCCGGCGAGGGGAGUGAAAAAGAACCUGAAACCGUGUACGUACAAGCAGUGGGAGCACCACCACUAAGCCAGUGGUGAACUCCACAUACGCAUCCUUUGCUGAGGAUACGGUUAACGGAGCGAAAGCGACGUUCAACCGCAAAAGAAGCAGAGGGGGCUUAGUGGUGGGGUGACUGCGUACCUUUUGUAUAAUGGGUCAGCGACUUAUAUUCUGUAGCAAGGUUAACCGUAUAGGGGAGCCGGAGGGAAACCGAGUCUUAAUUGGGCGUUAAGUUGCAGGGUAUAGACCCGAAACCCGGUGAUCUAGCCAUGGGCAGGUUGAAGGUUGGGUAACACUAACUGGAGGACCGAACCGACUAAUGUUGAAAAAUUAGCGGAUGACCUGUGGCUGGGGGUGAAAGGCCAAUCAAACCGGGAGAUAGCUGGUUCUCCCCGAAAGCUAUUUAGGUAGCGCCUCGUGAAUUCAUCUCCGGGGGUAG
rnacentral:rRNA from 1 species